GGAGGGGGCGUGGCCACGUUUCAGAAUUCCGAGCCCCUGCAGGCUGUUGUUGCUGGGAGAGGGUGGUGCCCUUUGCAACCAGUUGGGAAGAAGGCGCCGUGCUGCCGUGCGACAGCGCUUCUCUUCCUCCCCAAAGAGGAAGAAGAGUUUUGCCGGCUAAUUAGACUGCAGUGCUUCCCAGUACCAACGGGAUAAAAUUUCAUCGCCAUCACAACCAGGAAGUGUGCAGCAUUAGGCACGGCAGCAGGAACAGCAGAGAGCUCACACCACCAACUGCAAGCAGGAAGCAUGGAGAUCACACUGGGAAUAAUGUUCUGCCUCAGCCACAUGACCCCUCAUGGAGUCUCUUAGCAGCGAUAGAAACUCUAACUAAGACACACACAUCAUGUGCUUCUGGAGAGCAGUACCAGAUUCCAUUCUAGGGCUGAAAAAAAUGACUCUGAGUACUUAGGCAUAUUUGCUGUUCCUCAGACCUGAGCUUGGUUCCCAGCACUGGGGUCAAGAGGCUCACAACUGCCUAUAACUGCCUGCAUCUCCAGUUCCAGGUACUCCAACACCAUCUUUUGGCUUCCACAGGCACCCACACCCACAUCCCCUAACCUAGUCUAGCCACCCUACCUGCACCCCAACCUGCCUCUAGGAUUCUGUCAAGACCCACUCUGCCUAACCCCCAACCCACUGGACCCUCCCUUACAACAACAGUCAACCUUUCCACCCAGCAAGAUCUAUGCCCACACUCUGGACUUGUACCAGGACUCACAUCCUGUACAGCAGCCCAGCACCUCUGUCUACCCAAUUUCAUUCCACCUAAGCCAUUUCUAACCUCUAGGCCCAACCCACCCACACAUCCUCCCUUCUGUCCCAACCUGCUUUGUCCAUAACAGACUCAGAACUAACAAAAGAAGUCCACAUGUCCAGAUCUCAUUGGAAAAAAGCACAAAAAAAAUUAUGAAUGAUCAAGCUAGUAUCUUCCCUCCCAAACCUUCUAGUCCUGUACAAAUGUUUGCUAAUGAGAAUUACCUAGAUGAACCCCAGGACACAGAAUUUAAAAGAACAAUCACAAACUUCAUCAAAGAAUUCAAAGAGUUUGAAGAAGACACAAACAGCUCAAUAAAAUCAAGGAGAAAGGACAUAGGGGGAGUAAAUGCCUGAGUGACACUCAAGAAAACACAAGAGUAAGGCUGACAGACAUGGCAAAGACAAUCCAGGACUUAAAGAUGUAACUCAAUAAAGAGACAGAAACACUACAGAGGACUCAAACUGAAAUGAAGAUGGAAUUGAAAAACUCAGUAACCCAAUGAGAAGUUGUAUGAGCAGAGUGAGUCAAGCAAAAGAUGGGGUAUUGGGACUCAUAGAUAAAGGUGAGGAUCUAAACCGAACAAGCAAAGGAUAUGAAAAUUAAAAAAAAAAAAUAGCUGGGCGGUGGUGGCCCAUGCCUUUAAUCCCAGCACUUGGGAGAUAGAGGCAGGUGGAUCUCUGUAAGUUCAAGGCCAGUGUGGUCUACAGAGUGAGUUCCAGGACAGCCAGAGCUACACAAUGAAACCUUGUCUCAAAAAACCAAAACCAAAAUAAGUAAAUAAAUAAAUCUUAGACUCCAUCCUACUUUCUCAUUUUUUAUUCUUUGGAAAGGUUUAUUUUUAUUUUUAUUAUCUGUAUGUAAGAGUGUGGAAUG